AUUGAACGCUGGCGGAAUGCUUUACACAUGCAAAUCGAACGGCAGCACGGACUUCGGUCUGGUGGCGAGUGGCGAACGGGUGAGUAAUGUAUCGGAACGUGCCCAGUCGUGGGGGAUAACGUAGUGAAAAUUACGCUAAUACCGCAUACGAUCUAUGGAUGAAAGCGGGGGAUCGCAAGACCUCGCGCGAUUGGAGCGGCCGAUAUCAGAUUAGGUAGUUGGUGGGGUAAAGGCCCACCAAGCCAACGAUCUGUAGCUGGUCUGAGAGGACGACCAGCCACACUGGAACUGCGACACGGUCCAGACUCCUACGGGGGGCAGCAGUGGGGAAUUUUGGACAAUGGGCGAAAGCCUGAUCCAGCCAUUCCGCGUGCAGGAUGAAGGCCCUCGGGUUGUAAACUGCUUUUGUACAGAACGAAAAGGUUUCUACUAAUACUAGGAGCUCAUGACGGUACUGUAAGAAUAAGCACCGGCUAACUACGUGCCAGCAGCCGCCGUAA
rnacentral:rRNA from 1 species